rnacentral:rRNA from 1 species
ACUCCUGCGGGAGGCAGCAGUGGGGAAUAUUGGACAAUGGGCGCAAGCCUGAUCCAGCCAUGCCGCGUGAGUGAUGAAGGCCCUAGGGUUGUAAAGCUCUUUCACCGGUGAAGAUAAUGACGGUAACCGGAGAAGAAGCCCCGGCUAACUUCGUGCCAGCAGCCGCGGUAAUACGAAGGGGGCUAGCGUUGUUCGGAUUUACUGGGCGUAAAGCGCACGUAGGCGGACUAUUAAGUCAGGGGUGAAAUCCCGGGGCUCAACCCCGGAACUGCCUUUGAUACUGGUAGUAUUGAGUUCGAGAGAGGUGGGUGGAAUUCCGAGUGUAGAGGUGAAAUUCGUAGAUAUUCGGAGGAACACCAGUGGCGAAGGCGGCUCACUGGCUCGAUACUGACGCUGAGGUGCGAAAGCGUGGGGAGCAAACAGGAUUAGAAACCCGAGUAGUCCCAUG